UACGUAGGGGGCGAGCGUUGUCCGGAUUUAUUGGGCGUAAAGAGCUCGUAGGCGGUUCGGUAAGUCGGAUGUGAAAUCUCCACGCUCAACGUGGAGGGGCCAUUCGAUACUGCCGUGACUCGAGUCCGGUAGGGGAGUGUGGAAUUCCCGGUGUAGCGGUGAAAUGCGCAGAUAUCAGGAGGAACACCGGUGGCGAAGGCGGUGAUCUGGGCCGGCACUGACGCUCAUGCACGAAAGCGUGGGGAGCAAACAGG
rnacentral:rRNA from 1 species